rnacentral:pre_miRNA from 1 species
GUGGAAGGGGCAUGCAGAGGAGCAGGAGAUAAUUCAGUUGCAAGCUGGACUUCACUUUUGCUUCUCUCUCUCCUGUGCUUGCCUCUUCCAUU